AUUGAACGCUGGCGGCGUGCUUAACACAUGCAAGUCGAUCGGUAACGCGGGGGUAACCCUGGCGACGAGAGGCGGACGGGUGAGGAACGCUUGGGAAUCUGCCCAUCAGCGGGGGACAACCCGGGGAAACCCGGGCUAAUACCGCAUACGCUCUAUGGAGGAAAGCCGGGGACCGCAAGGCCUUGCACUGAUGGCUGAGCACAAGUCGGAUUAGCUAGUUGGCGGGGUAACGGCCCACCCAGGCGACGAUCCGUAGCUGGUCUGAGAGGACGAUCAGCCACACUGGGACUGAGACAAGGCCCAGACUCCUACGGGAGGCAGCAGUGGGGAAUAUUGGACAAUGGGGGAAACCCUGAUCCAGCGACGCCGCGUGGGUGAAGAAGGCCUGCGGGUUGUAAAGCCCUUUCGGUAGGGACGAAAGCUCUCGACCUAACACGUCGGGAGGUUGACUUAACCUACAAAAGAAGCACCGGCUAACUCUGUGCCAGCCGCCGCUGUAAAAC
rnacentral:rRNA from 1 species